UCAGACAUGGUGUACGGAACACCGCCUCUGGUAAUAGAACAAAGGAGUCGUUGGCGAGGCAGUCCGGGGUUCGACUCCCCGUGUCUGAG